GCUGGGUGUAGCAAUGCACACCUGUAAUCUCAGCUACUUGGGGGCUGAGGUGGGAGGAUUGCUUGAGCCCAGGAAGUGGAGGCUGCAGUGAGCUGAGAUCAUGCCACUGCCCUCCAGCCUGGGCAAUAAAGCAAGACCCUGGUUUUU
rnacentral:SRP_RNA from 1 species